UGAGCAACCUGCCCAAGUGUGGGGGAUAGCCGGCCCAACGGCCGGGUAAUACCGCAUACGCUUCCUAGGGGGCAUUCCCAGGGAAGGAAACCUUCGGGGCACAUGGAGGGGCUCGCGACUUAUCAGCUAGUUGGCGGGUAACGCCCACCAAGGCUACGACGGGUAGCUGGUCUGAGAGGAUGGCCAGCCACAUUGGGACUGAGAUACGGCCCAGACUCCGUACGGGAGGCAG
rnacentral:rRNA from 1 species